rnacentral:rRNA from 1 species
CUUGGUCAUUUAGAGGAAGUAAAAGUCGUAACAAGGUUUCCGUAGGUGAACCUGCGGAAGGAUCAUUAAUGAGCAAGGGUCUUCCAGGCCCGACCUCCAACCCUUUGUUUAAUUACCAUGUUGCUUUGGCGGGCCCGUCUUUAACCGGACCGUCGGAGGGUUUUACCUCUGGCCAGUGCCCGUCAGUAGCCCACUACAAAUACCUUUUUAACCAUGUUAUAUCUGAAAAUAGUUAAAUAAACUAAAACUUUCAACAACGGAUCUCUUGGUUCUGGCAUCGAUGAAGAACGCAGCGAAAUGCGAUAAGUAAUGCGAAUUGCAGAAUUCAGUGAGUCAUCGAAUCUUUGAACGCACAUUGCGCCCUUUAGUAUUCUGAAGGGCAUGCCUGUUCGAGCGUCAUUAUCACUAAUCAAGCCUGGCUUGCUGUUGGACCUCUUGUCGUUGAAAAUCGACAGGCCCUAAAGAUAAUGGUGGCGUUUUUUGGACCCUAGAUGCAACGAGCUUUCAUUAGCACGCGUUUAGUUGGGACCUUUUAACCCGGCCUUUUUUAAACCAAUUUUCUAAGGUUGACCUCGGAUCAGGUAGGAAUACCCGCUGAACUUAAGCAUAUCAAUAAGCGGAGGAAAAGAAACCAACAGGGAUUACCUCAGUAACGGCGAGUGAAGCGGUAAUAGCUCAAAUUUGAAAUCUGGCUCUUUCAGGGUCCGAGUUGUAAUUUGGAGAGGAUGUUUCGGGCACGGCUACGGUUUAAAUUUCUUGGAACAGAAUGUCAUAGAGGGUGAGAGUCCCGUCUUGAACCGAUUGCUUCGUCCAUGUGAAACUCCUUCGACGAGUCGAGUUGUUUGGGAAUGCAGCUCAAAAUGGGUGGUAAAUUUCAUCUAAAGCUAAAUAUUGGCCAGAGACCGAUAGCGCACAAGUAGAGUGAUCGAAAGAUGAAAAGCACUUUGAAAAGAGAGUUAAACAGUAUGUGAAAUUGUUGAAAGGGAAGCGCUUGUAAUCAGACUUGAGCUCAACAGUUCCCCCUUCGUUCUCGUUGGGUUAUUCUGUUUUGUCCAGGCCAACAUCAGUUCGAGUGGUUGGUUAAAGACUCUGGGAAUGUAUCUACCCUUCGGGGUCGACUUAUAGCCUAGAGUGUCAUGCAGCCUACUUGGACUGAGGAACGCGCUUCGGCUCGGAUGUUGGCGUAAUGGUUAUAAGCGACCCGUCUUGAAACACGGACC